rnacentral:lncRNA from 1 species
UAUAUAUAUAUAUAUAUAUAUAUAGAGUAGGGCUAGAAUACUUGUAAAAGUAUCAUGGGGGUGAUACUUGUGUGUUUUUAGCCCUUGGAUGGAGAGAUGUGAGGUUGAGAUGAUGGUGAUAGGUUGUGGUAGGUGGUGGUAGGUGGAAUAGUGUUUAAUCCAAGGGCUAUUAAUAAUCAAAAAGUAGAUCCAAUGGCUUAAAACCUAAUAGCACCAUGAUGGUGAUACUUGUAAAAGUAUCAUAGCUCAACUCUAUAUAUAUAUAUAUAUAUAUAUA